rnacentral:lncRNA from 7 species
AGACAAGGGACUUGCCCACUGCCACUGCCUCACCCACUGGAUAAAUCCAGAGUAUGAGGUGCUCCGCCACUGAGUGCUCCAAGGGAUGCUCAGCCUGGUGGGAGCAGUCCCACAGCAGGGCUCAGGGCCCUGUGGUUUUCUUUCUAACCCAGGGACCUCAGGUAGAUCCUAUCACCACCAUAUGGGGUUGGGGACAUUGGGCUUAUCUGUGGAGGGCUGAAGGUGGGAGGGGACCUGCUGGUGGGAAGGGAUCUGCUAUGGGAAGGCCAUAGGGUUCCUCAGGAGUCCUCACCUGCAUUUUCUCAGAUGAAGAAUGGGGUUCUUAUGCGCCUCUCUCACUCUGCAGCAUCUCCUCAGCCUCCCAUCUCCCACCCAGGGAUACAGCCAUGGGACAAACCUCAAAGGCAAACUGGAUGUGGUGCUUCCCUUUCUGUUCCAGCACGUUUUCAUGGGUUGUGGCUUUCUCCUAGAGGUUCCUGAUGCCACCUCUUGACAUUCCUCCAAGCCCCAACAGGAACAAGCUCGCUGCUGCGACCAGGACUCGAGAUGAAGCAUGGAGAAGCUUCUCUUAGGUCCUGGCUGGGCUCCUUCCAAGGGCUGGGGACCGCGGGACAGCAUUUUGGGUGCGAUGGGUGAGGUCACGUGCCUCCACCAGGCUGCUGUCCAAGGUCCUGCCGGGAGAACCUGGAUUCCCUACCAGCAUCUUUGCUCCUCACACUCAUUUAGGAGCUUGGAAUGGAGAGGAGAAUGCCCAAGGAGAGUUUCUCUGCAUGCGAGGGGGGAAAUGAGAAUUUCAUGCAGUACUGAUUGCUGCACUUCCUUGCUGGAGGAGGCAGGGAGUGAAAAUGGAAAUCUUUGUCUGCUUUCUUCCCAAUCAAAAUAA